CCACCUGAAGCAUCAUACUUAGGUUUUACUUGAUUCCAUUUUCUUUUUCUCUCCUCCGAUUCACAUUUUGAGAAAACCAGAGAUUUCUUAUCUUUCGGCUGAGCCUUUGAUUUUACUAUCUUCACUUCUCUCACAUGGUUUCACUGGUUCAUCCUCAGAAGAAAUGCCCAACAUCCACAACAGUAGGCGCCACUGACUUCCAUCAUUAGAAUCAAUCCCAACCAUUUGCUUUCUUAUUCCUCCAGAAAAUUAGAUUCGUAUUACCAACCAUCAACACAACUUGAAAUCAAAUAAGAAAAUUAAAGCGGUUGCCAUAAUUCUCUUUGAAUUUCGAUUUGGAUGGCAAGGUACGAAUUUCUUGUUCUUCCUCAUUUGUAAGGUUAGGGUUCUCAAUUACCAAGCAGACAAAAAGAAAAUUCGGAACAAAUUCGGUAUAAUACCUAGCUUUUCUGGCGAUUUACUAAUCAGGAUGUUUUGAUCCCGCUGACGAGCUUUUAGUCGGGCGAUUCGCGUCGAGUGGCAAAUGAAGUUGCCGUUGCACAAG
rnacentral:lncRNA from 1 species